rnacentral:lncRNA from 1 species
AAAAUACCUUAGCAUGAAGAAAGAACUGUAAUAAAACAGUAAGAAGAAGAGAUAAACUGAGACCUAUAUCAACAGAAAAAAAAUGACAUCUCUUUCCAUUUACUGCAGGUGCUGUGUUUGACAACUCGUAGCCUCUGGAAGAUGUUUUUUUGAAGGCAAUCUGUUCCUAUCCUUAAUUAGGUACAGUCAAAAGAGAGCUGUCCUACUUAUACUUGCAGUCAGUUUCUAAUCAACAUCUCUAUCAAGUUUUCACAGAAAGCAGCAAUCAGGUAUUUUUUUCUGUAUUGAAAUCAGUUGCCAGCAGUAGCUUAGUAUCUUUUUAAGCUAGUGGCUUUAAGGCAGCAGAGAGAAAGACAGAGAUGGUAAAACAACAAAAGGCUGCCUUGCCAUCCAUCACAUGUAGAUAAUAUGGCAAGUGUGGCUGCACACUAUUGUGAAGCUUUUCUG